AAUUUUCAUUACUUGGAAUGGAAUUUAGGCACAACAGACUUCAGUAGUUUGACAGUUGCACUAAUGGCCAACAGUCAGACUGCACUUUAAGUCUGUUCACAUUCUCUGCACCGAGCACUUGCACUACUUGCACCUCUUGCACCUUCAUUUGCACCGUUUAUCAGCAAAGGGUAACAAUGGUAAAGAGUAAGGGUUCAUGGGUGGGUGUUUUUACAAUCAUUUCAAGGGUUAAACGAUUUUCCUCGAACAAGAAUAUGGAAAAGAGUUGUUGAUUGUCUAAAGGGUUAAGAUAAGGUAUCGAUGUCAGGGCCAGAUCGGGCUAAAUAUGACAUACCAUUGAUGAGUAGAAAUAGGGUAUCCACAUUAGGGUCGCGUCAGUCUUAAUAGGGCAUGGCGUGUCACAAAAGGAUUCAGAUAUCAUUAGUCUUAAUUGUAUGUACUGUAAAAGGAUUCAGGUUGAUUACCGCAUCAGGGCCAGAUCUGACUCAACAGUUUAUAUUGUAAAAGGAUUCAGGUUGAUUAUCGAUGUCAGGGUGAGAUCAGGCUAAAUAGGGCAGGUUGUAUAAAAACCAAAACAGGAUAUCCACAUUAAUGCUAGAUCAAACUUGAUAGGGCAUAACGCGUCACAAAAGGAUUCAGAUAGGGUAUCCACAUCAGGACCUCAUCGGCCUUAAUUGUGUAUGCCGUAAAAGGAUUCAGGUUGUUCAUCCAUAUCAGAGAUAAAAAUCAGGCUUAACAAUGUUUGGCGUAAAAUGAUUCAGGUUGAUUAUCCAUAUCAGGGCCAGAUUAGGCUUAACAGUGUAUACUAUCAGGGCCAGAUCAGACUUAACAGUGUAUACUGUAAAAGAAUUGAAAUUGAUUAUCCAUAUCAGUGCUAGAUCAGGCUUAACAGUGUAUCUAUAGUGUAAAAGGGAUUCAGGUUGUAUAUCCAUAUCAGGGCCAGAUCAGGUAUGAGGUAAAAGGAUUCAGGUUCAGUAUAAACAUCAAGGUCAGAUUAGGCUAAAUGUGGCAUAUCGUCAGAAAAUUGAAUUAGGAUAUCCAUAUCAGGGCCUAAUCAAUCUUAAUAAGGCAUGGCGUAAAAGGACUGAAAUAGGGUAUCAUAGGACAUGCCCUUCUAUAUACGGAUUCGACUGCCCUAUUAAAUUUUCAGUCGGGUUCAAUUAUAUUACAACUCGAUUUUUACUCUCUCAAUACACCUAUAUGUAGUUUUUCAGUCCGAUUGCUUGUUUUAAUGGAACAAAACGUACAUUAUCGAUUGUGAUAAAGUUUACUUUGAUAUGAGACAGUGCCUACUUUUAUGCGUGUUUAGUUUAAUCCGUAUUUGCAGAUGAAAUUGUUUACCCCGUGUAAUAAUAAACAAAAAUUAACACCCGCUAGUAUCGCAUGGUAUAUUUCAUUUACCUAGUAUUUACAUCAAACUAUUACAACACACGUUCUGUUUCGUCAUCGCCCAGCAUAAUACUAAAAUAUUGCUACAUAUUAUCAGUUAACCCGAUAGGCGUUUUAUAGAAUAUGGACGGACGUUUGGCUAAAUUUAUUGUUAAUGGUGAGAGUGAACAGCGGCGAAAUGCAGUUUCACACAAUAAACUGACCGCAUGUAUACGUUAUAGUGAAAUUAAUCGAAAAUUUACAUUUACAUCACAAAAUACGACCGUUACAAACGAAAAUCUCACUAAAUAAACUAUUACAAAAGAAAACGCAAACUUCAAGGGCUCUACACACCUGAAUUUGAUUACUUAUUGAUAACUAUGACCAUAAAUAACUCAUUUUAAUCAUUGCCUUUUUAUUUAAUUAACUAUUUACAAUAUUAGAAUAAAAUACGAAAUAACAUAGGUAUAUCUAUGGGGUAUAAUAAUUCAGUUUUCAUAAUGCAAAUAUAUAUGAAGUGUUACAUUUCGGCUAGUAAAAUUUUUAAAUUCCGAAUAUGAAUUAUGAAAAUUGAGUUUGAUCCAAACGGAAGUUAGAAACAGGCACAUAAUAUUUUGUUAAACUGGAAAUUUUAAAUGAGAAAAGAUACCUAGUAUACAAAUUUUAAUUUCGGGUCCAUCGCGAACACAAAAAAAUAAAUUUACGGGCGCGUUUUUUAUUUCUGAAUCAAUUAAUUACUUCUGCCACUUUUACAUUUCAUACGAUACCUAAUAAUUUAAAUAAUUUUUGACAUUUGUGAAAAAUAAAAAUAACUAAAUUAAUAACAUCGAUUAUAGAUUGGAUGUGUAUACCUGACGUGGUACUGAGGAGGUGGUUAUUUUUGGUCCAGUUUCCGAAGUGGAAAUUCGUAUUGAAAUACAUUUCCAUAUAAUAAGUCGAGUGUGUUUGACAUAAAGUUCUUAUCACAUCUCUCAACUGCUGCAUAUUUGUUCGAAUAAAAUGAAUGUUAUUAUCUGAUAAGGAUCAGUCGAACGAAACGUUAGAAAGGAAGAUGACAUUUGCUUUCUAUUAAUAUCAAUUUUUUUAUAUCAGCAGAACUUCUUUUGCAAUCAUUUAGUUAAUUUAAUAUGUCACCACGUUCACAAUAAUAUGUACAUUUUACCUAUUUGCACAUGCAAUGUUUAGAAACAUCCUUCGUACUUUCUGUUAGUCCUUUGUUUAUUUUGCCACUAGGUACAAUGGCAUACUUCGAUUACUUUACGAAAAUCGUUAGAAAAAUAGUAAUUGCAAUCCUUUAGUUGGUCGUAGAUUGUUGAAAGUUCAAAUCUGGUCCUUUAUGUCGUAGUCCUUGAUCCUCGAAAUAUUGGUAGAUACAGUUGGGGUUUUCUUUUCUAGCUUUGACGUAAAUACAAAGAAAAGUGGAAGCUAAAUUUUUAAUUAUUUUAAAACUAUCAAUGGUCUACGUUUUAUAAA